rnacentral:rRNA from 1 species
CCUACGGGCGGCAGCAGUGAGGAAUAUUGGUCAAUGGGCGCAAGCCUGAACCAGCCAAGCCGCGUGAGGGAAGACGGUCCUAUGGAUUGUAAACCUCUUUUGUCGGGGAGCAAAAGACGCCACGCGAGGCGUACCGAGAGUACCCGAAGAAAAAGCAUCGGCUAACUCCGUGCCAGCAGCCGCGGUAAUACGGAGGAUGCGAGCGUUAUCCGGAUUUAUUUGGUUUAAAGGGUGCGCAGGCGGAAGAUUAAGUCAGCGGUAAAAUUGAGGGGCUCAACCUCUGCGAGCCGUUGAAACUGGUUGUCUUGAGUGUGUGAGAGGUAUGCGGAAUGCGUGGUGUAGCGGUGAAAUGCAUAGAUAUCACGCAGAACUCCGAUUGCGAAGGCAGCAUACCGGCGCUCAACUGACGCUGAGGCACGAAAGUGUGGGUAUCGAACAGGAUUAGAUACCCGAGUAGUC